rnacentral:rRNA from 1 species
AUUGAACGCUGGCGGCAUGCCUUACACAUGCAAGUCGAACGGCAGCACGGGAGCAAUCCUGGUGGCGAGUGGCGAACAGGUGAGUAAUAUAUCGGAACGUGCCCAGUCGUGGGGGAUAACGCAGCGAAAGCUGUGCUAAUACCGCAUACGAUCUAUGGAUGAAAGCGGGGGAUCGCAAGACCUCGCGCGAUUGGAGCGGCAGAUAUCAGAUUAGCUAGUUGGUGGGGUAAAGGCCCACCAAGGCGACGAUCUGUAGCUGGUCUGAGAGGACGACCGGCCACACUGGAACUGAGACACGGUCCAGACUCCUACAGGAGGCAGCAGUGGGGAAUUUUGGACAAUGGGCGCAAGCCUGAUCCAGCAAUGCCGCGUGCAGGAUGAAGGCCUUCGGGUUGUAAACUGCUUUUGUACGGAACGAAACGGUCUGCCCUAAUACGGUGGGCUAAUGACGGUACCGUAAGAAUAAGCACCGGCUAACUACGUGCCAGCCGCCGCCGUAA